rnacentral:sRNA from 1 species
GCCGCCCGCCUGCCACUAGUGGUUUGGUAUCAGUGACAAACAACACUGCGGCCGUUUUCUUGCGGUACUGCUCCACAAAGCGAUCCAAGCCUUCCCUGGAAUAAGGAUUGGUGUUCAACCAACCCUUAAUGUCAUUGAUUAGCCAAUCAAUGAUCAUUUCCACCGCUCUGGCAUCCAAUACAUGGAACUUCGAAGCGUAAUCCUUUUCAACUAACUUCCAGUUCGCGUACGAAGC